CACGUAGGGCGCAAGCGUUGUCCGGAAUUAUUGGGCGUAAAGAGCUCGUAGGCGGUCUGUUGCGUCCGCUGUGAAAACCCACAGCUCAACUGUGGGCUUGCAUUCGAUACGGGCAGGCUAGAGUUCGGUAGGGGAGACUGGAAUUCCUGGUGUAGCGGUGAAAUGCGCAGAUAUCAGGAGGAACACCGGUGGCGAAGGCGGGUCUCUGGGCCACUACUGACGCUGAGAAGCGAAAGCAUGGGGGAGCGAACAGG
rnacentral:rRNA from 1 species